ensembl:lincRNA
GGCGUCGCGGGAAAACUUUACGUAGAAAUGGGCGGAGUUUGAUAAACUUUUAUUUCUUUAUUUUUGCUCUUUAGCAUGUGCAGGCAUUUCCUGUUGUGCUGAGACCUGUCAAGGAGUCGUGCAUCGGAGCUGCAUCGCGCAGCAACUCACAUCGUGAUACCACCGGUACAAAUGGCAGGUUGUGCCAAUAUUACCUUGAUUGCCAACUACGUGUGUUACGUCAUCAUUUCCAGCAAUACCAGUUUCCACAUCACCAGGAACAAUGAAGACAAACUAGAAGACAGAAAAGUUAUUGUGGAUAUAAAUGGAUGCAAGAAUCGAUCGGUGUGCUCAGGUUUCCGGAAGCCCAAAUUCCCAAACAAGACGGCAGAGUUCACCUUGAAUGUGACGACCUUGAAAAGCUAUCACCUCGAAAUCAUGAAGGACUAUGACAUCGCACGCCGUUGUGGUGACGAAUGCUUUCACGAGAUCAACCCUGGCGUAACUGUAAACACUCCAAGCCUACAACCACAAAAACUUGAAUACAGAUGGCUGACCUUUGGAUGCCUUAUAAUUGUUCCCAUCAUCCUCGUCCUGCUGCGGUGGUUUUACAAACACAACCAAAGGUGGAGAGGCUCCGAAACAAGCGGCCAGCCAAAUGAUCCGAUGCCACCCAAGGAUGAAGAAUUGGUGGAUAGGUUGGUGUGAAAUUGACUUGAUACCAAUGUGCCUGCACGGGUAAAUUUUUUAUUGGAUGGUUCAUUGCAUCGGACGUAAGAGCCAAAUACUCAGGCACAGGCUUUCAGUUUGCUUCAGAAUGACGCACAAAACCUUCUACCUUGCCUUCGCUGCAAGUGAAACCAAAUGGAAAUUUCCAUUCACGGUAUGAUGUAAACGAAUCCCUUUCAUGAAUAUUGUCAGUGCCACACUCUUGAUAAUGUGGCAGUUUGUAACUUGUGGUUUUACAUAUUUGUAAGUUUGUGCUGGGGCAGUUCAUGGUCUACCUGCAUUUUAUUUUCCACGCAAAGAAAUCAUUUUCGAAAAACUAUUUUCACUAUUUCUCCAACAUAUUCCCCAACAACACAGACAUGUUUGUCCCGUCGGUGCGGCGAUGCUUUUAAGGGUAGCUUCAUUCAAGUCUUUGCAAAGGGGAUGCAGCGACCAAGACAUCGCCCUUCACGUCAUGACUACCAAUAUCGAUGCCAUCCGAGUGUUUAUCACGUGGCCCAAAGAGGUGAAAAUUACAAGGUGACAGAUCGGGGCUGUAAGUGUUGGAACCUGUCAUCGCAUCUGCACAAGUGUUGCAUUCAGUGACAUUUGCUGUGUUAGGUUUGGCAUUGCCAGGAAGCAAUGCAACGACGCAGUCAUUUAUGACGAACUCCCGAUACAAAUUCAAACUUUUUCUGUCAUUUCUUCGAACCGUGCAGGUAGACCUUGCCCCCCCCCCCC